rnacentral:tRNA from 1 species
CGGAGUGUAGGUCAUCGGUAGACCGCCGCGUUCGGGUCGCGGAAGCAGACGGUUCAAUUCCGUCCACUCCGACCA